UGGGGAAUUUUGGACAAUGGGCGCAAGCCUGAUCCAGCCAUGCCGCGUGCAGGAUGAAGGCCUUCGGGUUGUAAACUGCUUUUGUACGGAACGAAAAGACUCCUUCUAAUAAAGGGGGUCCAUGACGGUACCGUAAGAAUAAGCACCGGCUAACUACGUGCCAGCAGCCGCGGUAAUACGUAGGGUGCGAGCGUUAAUCGGAAUUACUGGGCGUAAAGCGUGCGCAGGCGGUUAUAUAAGACAGAUGUGAAAUCCCCGGGCUCAACCUGGGAACUGCAUUUGUAACUGUAUAGCUAGAGUACGGUAGAGGUGAAUGGAAUUUCAGGUGUAGCAGUGAAAUGCGUAGAGAUGCGAAGGAACACCGGUGGCGAAGGCGAUUCACUGGGCCUGAACUGACGCUGAUGCACGAAAGCGUGGGGAGCAAACA
rnacentral:rRNA from 1 species